CUACGGGUCGCUGCAGUGAGGAAUAUUGCACAAUGGAGGAAACUCUGAUGCAGCCAUGCCGCGUGAGUGAAGAAGGCCUUCGGGUUGUAAAACUCUUUCAAUCGUGAAGAUGAUGACGGUAGCGAUAGAAGAAGCUCCGGCUAAAUUCGUGCCAGCAGCCGCGGUAAUACGAAUGGAGCGAGCGUUGUUCGGAAUAACUGGGCUUAAAGCGUACGUAGGCGGUUAUGAAAGUCAGAAGUGAAAUCCCAGGGCUCAACCCCGGAACUGCUUUUGAAACUCCAUGACUAGAGUCCCGGAGAGGUUAGGGGAAUUCCGAGUGUAGAGGUGAAAUUCGCAGAUAUUCGGAGGAACACCAGUGGCGUAGGCGCCUAACUGGACGGGAACUGACGCUGAGGUACGAAAGCGUGGGGAGCAAACAGGAUUAGAUACCCCUGUAGUC
rnacentral:rRNA from 1 species